rnacentral:misc_RNA from 1 species
GAUGAAGAACGCAGCAAAAUGCGAUAAGUAAUGUGAAUUGCAGAAUUCAGUGAAUCAUCGAAUCUUUGAACGCACAUUGCGCCCGCCAGUAUUCUGGCGGGCAUGCCUGUUCGAGCGUCAUUUCAACCCUCAAGCCCUCGGGUUUGGUGUUGGGGAUCGGCGAGCCUUUCUGGCAAGCCGGCCCCGAAAUCUAGUGGCGGUCUCGCUGCAGCCUCCAUUGGGUAGUAGUAAAACCCUCGCAACUGGAACGCGGCGCGGCCAAGCCGUUAAACCCCCAACUUCUGAAUGUUGACCUCGGAUCAGGUAGGAAUACCCGCUGAACUUAAGCAUAUCAAUAAGCGGAGGA